ACUGCCACACACCAUCUACUUAUGUUUUAUGAUGCUCUCUCUAAUCUCUUAGGUAAUUGUGUCCCCCCAGAAACCUAUGGAGAGCUGAAGGGGUUUUAGGAUCAUUGAAUCCACCCUCCUCCUUUGGUACAAGAGGACAAAAGCCAGAGAGCAGUGCGAUGGCUGAGGCAUGCGAUUGUAAACCAAAAGCUCAAUUUCCAUUUGGAGUGGCUUCUGGAAGGCUGGAAUUGAAAUCCACCAGGGCCCAUUUCAAGGUGUUCCCAACAUCGCCUGGGAAAAAGGAGCCCGAAUACGCUUCCCUGUGGAGGCAGAACUUCAGCGUGAGAGGGGCUAUUCCUGCUGCCUUGUGGCUGCAGAAGGAGAGAGAAGGAGCCUCUCCAAAAAGGGGUUACAUGAAAGCCCUGAGGCGAGAUACUCACUUCAGAGGGUUCAAGACAAGGACACUCCCUUUGUUCUGUGCGGUGUGGAGACACGGGUGAGUGCUCCUCAGUGGCACCAACUGGUUCCCUCUUGUCCUCAGCUGCCAGUGCCCUGGGACAUGUCAUUUGGACAAAACACUUUUCCAUGUCCUGCCAUCCAUUCCACGGAGGCAGGAGAAAGGGGUCUGGAGGCAGGAACUUAAGGCCGAUUCACCCUGACUUUGGAGAACUAAAUCAAAUGGAAACUCUUGGGCUGUGACAGGAAAUAUCCUCUCCAUUUACACAGGGCAUACACCGAGUACAUGACUUUGUAAUUUGACUUCAUCCUCUUCAUUUACAUAGGGUACACACCAAGUAAGCAAUGGAAACCUCUAGAGGGGAUUCAAACGCCAGAACCUUCAGUAACGGGCUCCCUGUGCUCAGGCGCUCCCACCCUACGGAGUGUGCUUUCAUUUUGUGUCAAUCUCUGCUUUGCUGCUUCAUUCUUUCCUUGCUCCAUUUUUGUGUUAUGUCCAAUUCUUGGUUCAAGGCAUCAAGAACUGGGACACCUUCAACCAGUAACAUUAUUUAUUUAUUUAUUUUUGAGACGGAGUAUCGCUCUGCUGCCCAGGCUGUAGUGUAGUGGCCGGAUCUCAGCUCACUGCAAGCUCCGCCUCCCGGGUUCCCGCCAUUCUCCUGCCUCAGUCUCCCGAGUAGCUGGGACUGCAGGGGCCCGCCACCUCGCCCGGCUAGUUUUUUGUAGUUUUUAGUAGAGACGGGGUUUUACCAUGUUAGCCAGGAUGAUCUCGAUCUCCUGACCUCGUGAUCCGCCCAUCUCGGCCUCCCAAAGUGCUGGGAUUACAGGCUUGAGCCACUGCGCCUGGCCACAUUAUCUUAAUAUUGUUUUAAAACUGAAUUCUGCUUUUCAUCUGUUCACCUAGUUUUUAGAAAAUGACAAUGAAAUACAACUUGGAUCUUACCACAGCUUAAUACGAGGGUCAAUAUGAGCUAUACAGCAGGUUUGAUAUUUAAAAGUGUGCAACAUUUUUUAUUACUCUUUCAUUUGCAAACUACAGUAAAUAUUUUAUUUUUUAUAUUUAAUUAUGAAAUAUAUGACACAUAAGAGUCUAUAAAAUUUGGGUGGGCACGGUGGCUCAUGCCUGUAAUCCCAGCGUUUUCGGAGGCUGAGGCGGGUGGAUCAUUUGAGUUCAGGUGCUCAAGACCAGCCUGGCCAAUAUGGUGAAACCCGUCUCUACUAAAAAAAAAAACACAAAAAGUGAGCUGAGCAUCAUGACAGGUACCUGUGAUCCUAGCCACUCAGGAGGCUGAGGUGGGAGAGUUGUUUGAAUCCAGGAGACAGAAGUUGUAGUGAGCCGAGAUCGUGCCGUUACACUCUAGCCUGGGCUACCUGAGCAAAACUCCACCUCAAAAACAAAAAAAUAAACAAAACUGAAUGCAUAAUCUGAUAGAUUAA
rnacentral:lncRNA from 1 species